rnacentral:rRNA from 1 species
UACGGAGGGUGCAAGCGUUAUCCGGAUUCACUGGGUUUAAAGGGUGCGUAGGUGGGUUGGUAAGUCAGUGGUGAAAUCUCCAGGCUUAACUUGGAAACUCCCAUUGAUACUAUCAAUCUUGAAUACCGUGGAGGUCAGCGGAAUAUGUCAUGUAGCGGUGAAAUGCUUAGAUAUGACAUAGAACACCAAUUGCGAAGGCAGCUGGCUACACGAAUAUUGACACUGAUGCACGAAAGCGUGGGGAUCAAACAGG